CGCGGUCGUUGGCGGGCGCACGGGGCCGGCUAGCCGAGGGCAGCGCGGCCUCGCUGGCAGAGCCGCUCCCUCGGUGGGGAGGAAUCGCGAUCCUGCCAGGCAGGAGGCCAUUGCUGAAAAGGGACUUCAGGGAGUGAGUGCAGGAUGACUCAGCAGGGAGCUGUUCUUCAGGGUUACAAUAAUGAACUAGUGAAAUGCAUUGAAGAUUUAUGUAUGCAGAAAGAAGAACUGAACAAACAAAUCCAGCAAGCAGAAGAGGAAAAGAAUAAACUCCAGCAUGAAAUCCAAGUCCUCAGCGAACAGCUGGAGUGUGUAUGUGAAAACCUGGCCCAAAAAGUGGCUUCACGGAAUGAGCUUGAUAAAAUACUUGCUGAAACUGAAGCUGCUUACAUGAAGAUUUUGGAUAGUUCUAGAACUUUACUUAAUGUCCUGAAGAAAGAAGUGGGAAGCUUAAAGCAUUCACCAGAUCUGAAAACCAAUGUAACGUGAAACAGUCAAAUGUUUGGACUCUGCAGUGCUAAAAUUCCACUAGGUGCUUACCCUGCUGUUAGGUGCUUCCCACAUGCAGUUGCUGUUAAUCACCUUACAGGAAUGGAGGUGAGUGGACUGGGGGUUCACCCUGAUUUUAAGGGUAGGGAAUAAAGAGAAUUUAUGGAUGUGAAGUCCUGGUUAGGGACUGCAGCAUGAGGUGGUAGGAUAGAGAGGUGGAGGUUCUCCUGAUUCCUGUCUGCUCUAAGUGUACUUGUACUGAGCUACUGCCUACAGUUCUUGCUACCCAAUAAAUCAAAUUCCAGAAAUCAUCUGAGCUUCAUCGUAGCUCUGGACAUUCUCCCCCUUCCUUUAAGCCCACGGAUGGUCAGCAAAAGAGGCAAUCUGUGUUUUGUUUUCUCUUUCUGUCUUUUAUUUCUUUCUGUUCCAGCAGGAGGCUGUGCAGUCUGAGCCUCCUGUUUCCUGGAUUCAGGUUGUUCGAGUUCAAAUACCUGUGGCCAAAAAUACAGAUGCCCACGUUCUACUGAAGCCCACAAGCCUAUACACCCUGCAUGACAAGGCAUCCCAGCUCCUGAGCAGCCACUUUCACUUUCCAGACCUGCUGUUUUCAAGCCCCUGCUUUGGGACCUGUAGGAGGUGGGGCAGAGGAACAGAAAGAGCUUUUAAUGAUAGUUGCUAAUUAAUUACCUUUCAAAGCCUAACCUUUUUCAGGUACCUUGUCUUUAUAGACCCUAUUGUUUUAUCAGGCUGCUUAUUACCUUAUACUAGUCCAUGUAAGACCACCAGGUUUUUUAGGCAUGGAGGCUCCUUGAUGCUUAAAGGUAGUGGGAGGUCUGAAUUCUAGUCCAUCUAUAACAGCAUACAGAGCACAUAUAACAGCAGCAGGCUGUGAGGUAACCAUAUUCCAGCACAGCUUGUUUUGGGUUAAUGGAUUGAGGUAGUAUGGCAAGGGAGAAACUCUAGAUAUCUGGAUGGAUGGGGCUCUUCUGUAUUGAAAAUAAGCUGGCUGCAUGAAUUCAGGUUAAGAACCUAGGACAGGUGGCCCCUGACAGCAGUAUUCAUAUAUUCACAUAUCAUAUGUAUGUAUAUGUAUGUGUGUGUGUAUACUCACACAUACAUUAAAAUGUAUAUAUAAAUAUGCUCAGCAUUUUCGUAAGUAUAGAGAAAGCUGUCUAAUACUUCAGUAUUAUCUGCCAUUAGAAAAGACAAUUUAAACAGGUUGGACAUUAACAACUUGCAUGAGGUUGUGUACUCUGUUUUUUCAGUAGUCUUUGCAGUCUUGCUUCCACAUAAGCCAUCAUUUGUAGCACCAUCCUCAUCUUCCUCCUGCAACAGCUUUUGUUGCCUCUAGUUCCUUGCUCCUUUUUUUCCAUGUGUUUGAUUAUCCCAAGCUGCUGACCAGAAACAUGCUGCUCUUCUGACAUGUGGUGGGUCAGAGAUGCUUUCACUAUCUUGAUAUUGUCCAGGCAUGUUCUAGCACACUUGGGAAAAUUGUUUGCACGAUAAACAGAUUACAUUCAAUUUGACAGUGCCCCAAAAGUUAUGAUUGGAUGGGGUGAUAAUAUUAUAUUCCAGAGAAACAACAGACACCUGAUCUGAGUUUCAUUCUAUAAAAAGGAUGUAGGUCAAAGCAAUGGAUGGAGGGGAAUUUUCCUGAUUUGCUAUGGAGAUUAAAGAUCAGAAGUUUAUUUUGUUUGUCAUUGAGUGUAAAUAAUGUAAUCUUCUGCAGAUAAAGGUCUAUAUGAGACGCUGUAAUUUAAUUUGUAUUAAGGCUGUGUCCAGAGUGAUGUGAGUUUGUUUCAGAAAUGUUUGCUCUAUGUUUGAGAAAAAAUUAUAACUUGAAAUUAGAAAGAGGAAAAGGAAUAAAGUGCUGGAUCUUGCAGAUAGUGAUCUCAUUGAGGAACCUGUUAUAGGUCAGCUGUGUCUUCUUCAAAGCUCUGAGUGUGAUCUGUAUUGCAAAUUAUUAAAUAUGUGCUAAGACAGAGUGGAGUAUGGCACAAUAAGGCAACUUGGAAAAAUUAUGUCAAGGCAUUGUAUGUGUUCAGCAAUUUUCUUUGCAAUCCUGCUCUAUUUUACAACCUAAUCUAUUCCCCACUAAGAUGUGCUAGAGAUAAACAUUGCAGAUGCCUUUGUGUGCAGAGAAGAAGGAGAGGCAAUUAAAAGUCUGCAUGCUGUGAAGUCUCUGGGUACCAACAGUGUCUGCCCAGACCUUUACAGUGUUUUAGGGAACAAUUGGUUUUCCUGCUGGCUGGGGUGACUGAAUGCAAAUAAUUUUUGAAUAAGGACAGUAACUCAGUUAUUUUCAUACUGGCUAAAGUCCUGCUGGUUUGCAUAAAGGUUUCCGUUUUUAUUUACUGGUAGCAAAGUCUUGGUGACAAAGUGGUUCCUUCAGAUCAGAUGCUGUUUUAUUAGAGCACAUCAUUUCAUUUCUGACAAAGAAAAGGCAAACUUCUGGUAAUGUAGUGAAAGAACCUGGGGCAGGGCAGUAUCUGGUAUUGGCCUCCAUCAAAGACAAGGAAAAGCACAAAAGAACCAAACUGCUGGCCAUGGUCUGAAUCAAACGGGAUUGCCUCCGAGCGUAGCAAGUGAGAGGGCUUUUCUUUCUUUUAACUUGCUCCCUCCUACAUCAUUACUGGGCUGAGUAAAAAAAAAAAAUUCUUUUGAAUAAUAAUAAAUGGGAUAAUUUGCUUCAAGAAAAGCUAGUGCCACAUAGGAGGCAGAUAAAGCUGCUCCAUGUGAGCUUUAUUUAUUUUUUCAUUAAAAAUUUUCAAAAUGCAAAUUCUAAAAGCAAGCAGCCAUUGUAAGGAAAAGAGGAACAACAAAAUGUUGUGUUUGCUUGUCAUUGCAGACCAUUUAUACUUCAGUAACUUCACUCCUAUGUGCAGUUUCUUGGCUGCAAGUACUGCUUGUCCGAAACAUGGAUUUUUGGUCUCAGACUUGUUCAGUCCAAAAUUCCUUUUCUUAUUUUAGAUAAAUAUAAUAAAGCUGUAUACAUUUUUUAUUUAUAUUGCAUGUAUAUUAUAUAUACAUGUUAUAUAUUACUUAUGUAAGUAUGUUGUUACUUAGAUAGGUAAGAAACUUAACCUAUAACUUUUAAGUACAAGUUUUUUUCCCAUGGUUUACAAUGCCAUGAAUUACUAAAUGUGUUACCAUACAGGUGUAGCUGGAGUGAGGCUUAGUUCUCAGGCAUUAAGAUGACCUUUGAACUUUGAUUAGCUGAUAAGUAUUUAUAGUUUCAGGUGUUGGCAAAGUCGGAAGCAGCCAAACAUUGGGAAGUGUAACUUGACUUUGCAGAUUUAAAUUAGGAUUUGCAUAUUGCCUUAUAUGGAACUUGACUUUGUUUCAAAUAACUUCUGCAUCUGGUUGUGUGGUGGGAGAGCACAGCCAAAUGUUUUAAAGACAUAUCAAAAGCCAUAGAGCCAUUUAAAUUGGAAGGAACCUCCCAGAUGGUCAGCCAUUAACCCAGAACUGCAAAGCCCACCACUAAACCAUGUCCCUAAGUGCCACAUCUAAGUGUCUUUUAAAUAAAUAAUAGCUGCUUGAGCUGCUAGAUGCUACCUCUGCUACACUGGGAUUGUUACAUUGAGAAACCAUGAUGUAACUGUAGUUAAAAUAAUCUCAUUAGCAGGAGCACAAAUCCCCUUUAACUAAAGUAGUUUUACAGUGUCACUGGAUUUCAAAAUGUAAACUUCUGAUUCUUGUGCUGUGGCCUGUGUAAGAGCUAAGAAGGUAACAAAAAUUAAUCUUGAAAUUCUGGAAUGAGUUUUGAGAUAUUAAUUAGAAUUUAAUAGGUGCCUAAGGAUUUUAUGCCACAAGACUCACUGAAAGUUUGUGGGUCUUGUGCUCUGCUUGGUGUUGCUCUGGUUUUUAAGAUUCAGGAUUCUGCAUACAUUUUCAGAGGCCUGGCUCCUGAAAGAAGGGCGUUUUCUUUGUCUUUCUUCCCCCUACCCCCUGAAGUUACACUUCUGUUUCUUGUAAAGAAAAGGCUGAAAGCGCCAAAGCAAGUAGAAAGGCUCAGAAAUGCAAAUAUAAACAAUUCUAAAUCUUUUUCAUGAUUUAACAACAGUCUCACACUUCAUGCUUGGCCUGGUGUAUGUCUUUUUCAGUGCCUGAAGCUGGUAAUGGUCAAAGUCCUAUUGAGAAUUUCACACCAUGUUCUGCUUCAGUCAAAUCAGAUGCAAUGAUGGUUCCAAGAAAGGCCCCCAUAAUCUGUGGCUGUAGGACAUAACUGCCUUUCUGUGAGGUACAGAAAGUAAGGUGCAGAGUUUAAAUUCCUCUUAGUACCUUUAUCAACUACAUCCAGCUUUCCACAGUCAUUUUGGGUUACUCAGAACUGUCAGGUAAGUCCCUUUUAAUCCAGCCUCAAUGUGAUCUGAAGCUGUCAGGGAACAAGGUGUGUGGAAUUCUGGAGCUUCCUGGCCAGCAGAAGCUGGAAACCCUAUGGGAUGGCAGGGGAAGGGAAGGCUGCUGACUCCUGGCAGAGAGAGCAUGCAGCACCAAUGCAGCAGCAGCCAGUCUUCUGCCAAAAGAAGUAUUAACCUGACAUGAUGCUUCCUAGAAUCAGGAAUCUUAGAGGAAUAAGCAAUUUCAGGGCUGAAAGAGGCUCCUAGGGAUCUCCUAACAUCACAAUGUAUUUAUUCCCUGUGAGUGAAUGCAGGAAAGAUGGAUGGGAAGAUGACUGAACAGAAGGGGUUUGUAGUACUUGCAGAGCCUGCUUUGGAGUCUGAAAGGCCAAAAAUAUGAUCACAAUAUUCAGCUGAGGGAUUGAAGAUGUGAUUUAGAAAUGGAACAGUUUGUCAAACUGAAGCUAAAGAUUGAACAGAUGCUGCCAAGCCCAGCGUCUGAUUUCAGUCCUGAUCUGGAAUAACUCCAGGGCUGUGCACGAAGCCAUCUCUUUCUUCCCUCCUAAGGGGGUGGUGGCAGGGAGGAGACUCAAGACCAUUGUUCUCCCUCCCCGUGUCCCUCCUGCAGCAGCAGCCAGCAUUGUUCCUUUUUAUUUACUUCCCCCUCUCUGUAAACCAGCAGGGCUCGCAGCAGAGGGAUGCAGCUCUCAUUAGAGUAAUUAGGCUGAUUUAUGAGAGAGAGGCACAGUGAAGGAGAGCUUUCCUAAUACAGUGUUCCCCACGGGAGGCUGGGCACCCUCCAGCUGCUGGCAGGGCAGUGCUGGGCCUCCCUGCCAGCUUGGGCUGGAGAGCCCCCUUCUCUUCCACCUUUCAUAGCAGUGAAAAUGGACAAACGCAUGCAAUAAAUGCUUUUUCCUUCACGUGAUAUUCUUCACAAGUUGUAUAUUCCACAUUAAUAUUAGAAGUCUAAUUAAAGUAAUAGAGGGAUCCUUCCUUAGUGUUAACUAAGCGUAGGUUUUGACUUAUAAAGGACUCUUCAAGCAAGUUUGCUGUGUCACUGCAACAGCAAGAGCUGCUAGGGCUUUGUUCCUCUCCCGCUCUGUGGAAGUUUUGCAUUACUUUUAUGAAAGGCUUAUGUAUGAUGAGUUAGGAAAUUGCCUUCUUCCAAAGAAUGUGGAUAUUCUUUGUUCAUCACAUUUCCUUGGUGUCUUCAUGGCAAGAUACAGUGUGUCCCUGGGAAGUCCUGCUGCACUUCGGAAGUCCCAUUUGAAAUGUGCGUGGGCCUAUUUAAAAACGCAUUUAAGCUUUUAAAAAUGUAUUAUACAAGCAAACAAAAAUAAAAUAUCAUUAGCAGUUCUGCCUGUUGUGUUUCUGCCAGGCACCAGGAUCAAACUUGCAAAACUUGCCAGCUGCCUGCACUUCCCAGUGCAAUAUUUGUGGUCACCUUUAUGGAAGAAAUGUACUCAUCAGUUGUCUUCACUAACAGAGUGGUAUUUAUAGUGCCUGAAGGGCAAUUAAAUAAUUUUGAAAUUA